rnacentral:lncRNA from 1 species
AUAAUAUGCUUUUGCCAUUAUGGCUUAAAAUUUAUUAAAGUUUUAGGACAACUAGAGUGCACAAUGCUAGACUUCAUAAGUAAUAAUAAAUUUAUUCUUAUUUCAGAUCCUUUGACAAACGAAAAAUGGCUACUGUAGACGAGAAGGACACUCCCUUCCCACCCAUACACUCACACUAUCAGAUGUCAGUAAAGUAUUACUGGCCUUGAGGG